rnacentral:rRNA from 1 species
AUAGCAGGGCGGGUGCUAUACAUGCAAGUCGAGCGAACAGACGAGGAGCUUGCUCCUCUGACGUUAGCGGCGGACGGGUGAGUAACACGUGGAUAACCUACCUAUAAGACUGGGAUAACUUCGGGAAACCGGAGCUAAUACCGGAUAACAUGUUGAACCGCAUGGUUCAACAGUGAAAGACGGUCUUGCUGUCACUUAUAGAUGGAUCCGCGCCGCAUUAGCUAGUUGGUAAGGUAAUGGCUUACCAAGGCAACGAUGCGUAGCCGACCUGAGAGGGUGAUCGGCCACACUGGAACUGAGACACGGUCCAGACUCCUACGGGAGGCAGCAGUAGGGAAUCUUCCGCAAUGGGCGAAAGCCUGACGGAGCAACGCCGCGUGAGUGAUGAAGGUCUUCGGAUCGUAAAACUCUGUUAUUAGGGAAGAACAAAUGUGUAAGUAACUAUGCACGUCUUGACGGUACCUAAUCAGAAAGCCACGGCUAACUACGUGCCAGCAGCCGCGGUAAUACGUAGGUGGCAAGCGUUAUCCGGAAUUAUUGGGCGUAAAGCGCGCGUAGGCGGUUUUUUAAGUCUGAUGUGAAAGCCCACGGCUCAACCGUGGAGGGUCAUUGGAAACUGGAAAACUUGAGUGCAGAAGAGGAAAGUAGAAUUCCAUGUGUAGCGGUGAAAUGGGCUGAGAUAUGGAGGAAUCCCAGUGGCGAAUGCAACUUUUCUGGUCUGAAACUGAUCUGAUGUGCGAAAACGUGGGGAUCAAACACGAUUACAGACCCUGGUAGUCCACGCCGUUAACGAUGAGUG